GGAGCGGUGUCCGAGUGGUUGAAGGAGACGGUCUCGAAAACCGUUGAACCUAUCGGGUUCCGGGGGUUCGAAUCCCCCCUGCUCCG
rnacentral:tRNA from 1 species